GGAUCAUUACAGAGUUGCAAAACUCCCACAAACCAUCGCGAAUCUUACCCGUACGGUUGCCUCGGCGCUGGCGGUCCGGAAGGCCCUCGGGCCCCCGGAUCCUCGGGUCUCCCGCUCGCGGGAGGCUGCCCGCCGGAGUGCCGAAACCAAACUCUUGAUAUUUUAUGUCUCUCUGAGUAAACUUUUAAAUAAGUCAAAACUUUCAACAACGGAUCUCUUGGUUCUGGCAUCGAUGAAGAACGCAGCGAAAUGCGAUAAGUAAUGUGAAUUGCAGAAUUCAGUGAAUCAUCGAAUCUUUGAACGCACAUUGCGCUCGCCAGUAUUCUGGCGAGCAUGCCUGUUCGAGCGUCAUUUCAACCAUCAAGCUCUGCUUGCGUUGGGGAUCCGCGGCUGCCCGCGGUCCCUCAAAAACAGUGGCGGGCUCGCUAGUCACACCGAGCGUAGUAACUCUACAUCGCUAUGGUCGUGCGGCGGGUUCUUGCCGUAAAACCCCCCAAUUUCUAAGGUUGACCUCGGAUCAGGUAGGAAUACCCGCUGAACUUAAGCAUAUCAAUAG
rnacentral:rRNA from 1 species